rnacentral:rRNA from 1 species
UGGUGCCUACGGGGCGCAGCAGUGAGGAAUAUUGGUCAAUGGACGAGAGUCUGAACCAGCCAAGUAGCGUGAAGGAUGACUGCCCUAUGGGUUGUAAACUUCUUUUAUAAAGGAAUAAAGUGAGGCACGUGUGCCUUUUUGUAUGUACUUUAUGAAUAAGGAUCGGCUAACUCCGUGCCAGCAGCCGCGGUAAUACGGAGGAUCCGAGCGUUAUCCGGAUUUAUUGGGUUUAAAGGGAGCGUAGAUGGGUUGUUAAGUCAGUUGUGAAAGUUUGCGGCUCAACCGUAAAAUUGCAAUUGAUACUG